UCUCGCAAUUGGCCACCAGUGGUGGUAGUUGGAAAUCUCCACUACAAACCAGGAUUUUUUUUUUCCUUUCUGGAGAACUAGUUGUUAAAUAUUGACCAGAGUACAUACCUGUGUCCUAAUGAGGGCAGCUGACAUUUAAAGCAUCAUGCCCUUCGGAGUUUCUCACAUGCCGAUCGCGAGCCCGCACAGUAUAAUUAGAUUCCCAGAUGCCUUUCCAUCACUUGCAAGGAGUGUCACAACCCAAAGUGGUCACAUGAGUGACGUCAUGCUCACCAGGAGCUGAUGCCAUCGAGUUUUCCAGAGGGCGAUGGGCAGCGGGACCCAGAGGACAGAGCCACAUCUCAGGCAGCCACAGUGUCUGGACUGGACCCACCCACCAGGCACCCAGCCUCAGGCCGAUGGGGAAGAGCCCACACGUCCGGAUCCAUCAGGAAAGGUUCACACACCUAGAUUUGUGUCCCGGGUCCAUCUCUCUUGCCAGGCUGACUUGCCAUCCAAUGGGUACAUUUUAUACUUUUCAUGCCACAGUGACAUUAUCCCAUUUAGAUUUCCUAACUACCGUUUGAAGGAGCUUUUCACUUAGGAUGCCGGAAGCUGAAAUAAGAGAUGACCCAAUUCGGAGUUAAUAAAGGGAAGUCGGAAGGUUUUUUUUUUAGCUCACAUGAAAAGAAGUCUAGAGAAAGGAUUUUCUCUGUCAUCUGCGUUGUCAAAUUGUUCCUUAAGCCUGGUAGCAAAGCCACUGGUGGUCACUGGGCCCUCUGGGCUGUGUCGUUCGUACCUGGGCCAGCUUUGCACGGCAGCGUUUUCCUCAGGGCAAGGAUGCUGACUUCCCAGGAGCCUGCAGUAAGGCCUCACUGGCACAGACUGGCUUGGGUGUGCUCGUUUCUGAACUGAUAUGGCCCAGGGAUAGACGGACAUCUUCGACAGGCUUAGACCAACCCGCCAGGCUGUGUAAGGCAUGGAGCCCUCCACCACAUCGUCCUCCGUACGUGUCCAUUUUCUGGAUCAAGG